GCACUGUGCUGUGAUUUGCACAUAUUCUCUCAUUUGAUGCUCCCAAACCCCUGAGGAAGAGACACUAUCCUCUCUAUUUUGCAGAGCCAUCCAAGUCCAAAGGCAAGGCAAAGUCAAGAUGAGUGGAUGCAGUGGAUGGCCUGGGCUUCACUGACGUUUCAUCAAGCUCCAAGCACUCCAUCGUGCUCCAUAGGUGGACACCAAAGGAGGAAGCUUGUUUGCAAAGGGCUUGGCAAACCCUCAUACCAAAGGCACUCAUCUUCCCUGAACACUGACUACAGCCUGGCAAUAGUCUAAGCUAGUGAUGAAGAGGGGCCAUAUAGGCUGUGUGAGUCUAGGAGACAAGAGGAUGGAUAUGAGAAUUCUUAUUGAGCUAGAUGGGACCAUGGAGGUCAUCUAGUUCAUUCCUUUUAAUUGACCAAAUGAGGAAUUCUGACUCCCAGAGAUCGAUAGUCUUCUGCCCAAGGUCAUACAAGAAAUACAAAUGCAAAGAAACUCCUACUAGGAGCAUGGAACAUCAGGACACUACUUGACAGAGAGAAUACCCCAAGACCUGAGAGAACAGCUCUAAUCGGUAAAGAACUGGCGCGAUAUAACAUCGACAUCUCAGCAUUAAGCGAAACACGCUUACCAGAAGAGGGAUCACUCAGAGAACCCACCACUGGAUACACCUUCUUCUGGAAAGGUAGAACCUCAAAUGAAGGCAGAAUCCACGGUGUUGGUCUGGCCAUCAAGACCAGUUUGUUCAAACAGCUGCCAGACUUGCCUGUGGGCAUCAGCAAGAGGCUCAUGAAGAUCUGUUUGCCUCUCAGCAAAGACUGGUAUACCACAAUCAUCAGCCCAUAUGCCCCAACACUGACCAGCACAGAGGAGACCAUCGAGCAGUUCUACUCUGACCUGAGUGCCGUCCUGCACUCAGUGUCCACAAAUGACAAGCUGAUACUACUGGGAGACUUUAACACCCGCGUUGGCCAGGACCAUGAAAGAUGGAAAGGAGUGCUCGGCAAAUACGGCGUGGGCAAAAUGAACAACAACGGCCUACUGCUACUCAGCAAAUGCUCAGAGUUCUAACUCACCA
rnacentral:lncRNA from 1 species